UUGCCCACCUGGUAGCUCAGCCAGCGGAGCACGAGACUCUUGAUCUCAGGGUCAUGGAUUUGAGCCCCAAAUUGGGCAAA